rnacentral:rRNA from 1 species
GAUGAACGCUGGCGGCGUGCUUAACACAUGCAAGUCGAACGAGGUCCAACCUUCGGGUGAAGACCUAGUGGCGAACGGGUGAGUAACACGUGGGGAACCUGCCCUUCUCUCUGGGAUAACGUCGAGAAAUCGGUGCUAAUACCGGAUACUCCUUGCGGAUCGCAUGGUCUGCUCGGGAAAGCUCCGGCGGAGAAGGAUGGCCCCGCGGCCCAUUAGAGAGUUGGUGAGGUAACGGCCCACCAAGGCGACAAUGGGUAGCCGAGCUGAGAGGCUGAUCGGCGACACUGGGACUGAGACACGGCACAGACUCCUACGGGAGGCAGCAGUGGGGAAUUUUGCGCAAUGGGCGAAAGCCUGACGAAGCAACGCCGCGUGCGGGAUGAAGGCCUUAGGGUUGUAAACCGCUUUCAGCAGGGACGAACGUGACGGUACCUGCAGAAGAAGCCCCGGCUAACUUCGUGCCAGCAGCCGCCGUAAUAC